GACGCCGCGUGUGGGAUGAAGCCUUUCGGGGUGUAAACCACUGUCAGGGGGGAAGAACCACGAGCACUCGAAUAGGGUGUUCGUCUGACGGUACCUCCAAAGGAAGCGCCGGCUAACUCCGUGCCAGCACCCGCGGUGACUGAGCGGGCUGGCAAGGCGCAUA
rnacentral:rRNA from 1 species